GUUAGUCGAUUUUCAUUAGGAUGUAUUCACACCUCUGAUUUCAAGUUUUGCUUAAGGAUUUCCUAACCUUAUGCAAUAUGCGUAUAGAAACGUGUUAUUUUUGUUCGUCCCGGAUUUACCCAGGACAUGGAAUUCAAUUUGUAAGGAACGAUUGUAAGAUAUUCAAAUUUUGCCGUUCAAAAUGUCAUGCUGCAUUCAAGAAGAAGAAGAAUCCAAGAAAAGUCAGAUGGACCAAAGCGUACAGGAAAACUGUAGGCAAAGAAUUGGCAGUGGAUCCAGCAUUUGAAUUUGAAAAAAGAAGAAAUAUACCUGUUAAAUACAAUAGAGAAUUAUGGAACAAGACGAUUGAAGCAAUGAGGAAAGUAGAAACUAUCAGACAGAGAAGACAGAAUCUACAUAUAAUGCAAAGAUUACGUAAAGGACGCGAAUUAGAACAAGAAAGGGAUGUUAAAGAAGUUCAACGUGAUUUGUCUCUCAUAAGAUCACCUGCUGCAGGACUUAAGGAAAGAAAGAAGCUGGAAGAAGCUGCAGAACAAGAAGAAAUGAUGCAAGAAUCGAAUGACGAACAAGAACCAGAAGAAAUGGAAAUGAAUAGUUAAAUUCUUGAUUUCAAACAGAAGCAUCCUUCACAUUACUUUAUACAUUCAUAUCUUGCAUAGAGAAGGGGCGGGAACUCAGGGAAGAGAUGCUUACGCGAAAAGUCCCAACCUCGGAGCAGUACAAUUUUUUAUAAACCUACCAUACUCAACUGUACAACUUUUUGUAAGCCUACAUUUUUUAUUAUUACCACAGGCGAAAUUUAAGUACUCUUAGGUUGAUAGAUUAAUUACCGAAUGCUGUUACAUUCUGUUAUAUCGACUACAGUUGGUAUUAUAAUAUCACAACGAUCUUCAUGGUAAGAACACAGACCAGGUAUAGAAUAAACCUGUCAUCUUAUAUGACUUCGUGUCUUACGUUCUGAAAUACCGACGUAGCUUACAACCUCCUUUUUGCUUUGUUGCGCACUCUACAAUUCAGAACGAUGAUCUAGGGAACUACAUUCGGCCUAAAGGAUCAAUGGAUCACACGGUUGAUAAUUAAAAAAAAAA